rnacentral:tRNA from 1 species
GCCGGUUUAGCUCAGUAGGUAGAGCAACUCACUUGUAACGAGAAGGCAGGCGGUUCGAUUCCGUCAACCGGCA